CUGUUGUGCGUCCCCACACAAAAAAUCUCGCCGGUCCACGUGCUCUCCCCCGGAAACGCUUCUUCUCGUCUUCCCCAGUUCUGCCGCCGCCGCCGCCUACCUCUGCCCCAACCUUGCCACCUCCUCUGCCCGUCUACCGUCCUUCCGUCACACCCCGAGGCCCUCAUCACCUCUUCCCACCCGCUCAUCUGCUUUGUGCUGUCGGCCUCCCUCUCGUCCGCUAACCGGCCAUCGCGACGGGGAGCUAGAUCUGCGCCGACACGCCUCAUCAUCGCCUUCGUCUUCUGCUGUGUGCCUACACAUCGGCUAUAGGGACAAGGACCUCGCCGGCUCGCGCAUAAUAGGUCAACGGCAAGCAGUGGAGGUGCAGCAGCGGUCGAAGAUGGUGGACCAGAUCAGCGCGUCAUGGGGGUGGACUCCAAGGCCGUCACGUGUAGAGAAGAGAGAGGCCGGCACGGCGGCCGGGCACGGUCUGGAGAACCGGUGGCCGGUAGUGCACGAUAUGGGCGUGCGCGACCUGCGUGAGUUGGAGGCGAGGCGGCAUCCUUGACUAGCAUGCCGUCGUAGAUCCUCAUCGUGCCUCCAGGAGAGGAGCUCGUCGAGGAUCCCCUCUUCUCCACCGAUCCAUGAUGGAGGGUCAUAUAUGGAGGACUGGAUUUGAAUGGAAAGAAUUGGAAGGAGUUUUUUUUUCCGGAUGUUCCUGAGGCACUAAAGAACUUGCAUUCUCACCGAAUGAAGGUAUGUAUAUAUUUGGUCAAACUCUUCUGAGAUGUGAAUUGGGCUUUUAAGGCAUAAAACUAGAUUGUCACUGGCUGUGUUUAUUGUUCAUACUUCGUAAAUGAGUGAUUUAGGUCAGAAAGUUGUCUCCUGAGCUAAAGUGUCAAGAAUAAUACCCAUAGCAGAACUCUGUGAAUCAUUCACACAAAAAAAAGAGUGUACUUCUGCAACGUGCUGAACCAUUGAGAAAGUCAUCAAAUAUUCAGUUGCUCUACGGUUUGUCUAUUCUACUUUCAUAUAUGCAAAUCAAUAUCGGUUUGAAUAAAGCAGAAUGAUAUGAUGCUAUGGAAUGCUCAGUUCAUCACCAUACUGAGAAAUAAGAUUGUUUUUUUGGCUGGUAGAUUGUCAAAAGUCGUAAUGUAGUGAAGCAUCGAGUAUUAGUUGGACAUGGUAGAUGUAACCGAGCUCUGUUAUAAUUAGAAGAGAAUAAGUAAAAAUGCGAGGAGAUCAAGAAGUUGAUAGUUGAGCUGGACUACUUGAGGAAGCGGGUUCAGGAGGUCAAACCCAACAACAACUGUGGCUUCGGAAAAGAUGUAAGCUCUCAUGUUAUAAGAUUGGUUGCAUGUUCUUUAAUUAGCAAUUGUUCUCGUCAUUUAUAAUUUACUUGCUCACUUUUUUCUCACCAAUAGUUAUUAUAUGAAAGGAAUUGCUGGACAUGAUGUUUGUUUGACCAAAACCCUUUCGUUGUGGUUUCUCCAUAUGAAUUUUCUGAAGAAAAUAUGUCAAUCCGGUUCUCCACUUAUGCAACUCUAAAAGUAAAAAAAUUAGAGACUACUUUGUGUUGAUUCAAUUAUAUCUUUGUUUGCCUACUUUCAUCUAGGUUGAUCUAUAGUCUUAUGGAACUAAUUUUGGUGAUGAAAUAUCUUCCAUCGAACUGAUGAAAAUAUUUCCCUUUUUUCCUUGCAGCCUUAGUAAUUAGUUUUACAACUCUGCAACUACAAUAUACAUUCUAAUCUGAGCCUUAGUAAUUAGUUUUACAACUCUGCAACUGCAAUAUACAUUCUAAUCUGUGACGGAUGUGGGUACAUAUCUGACAUUGUUUCUGUUGUACCAGUGUUUCCUGGUAUGUUUCUGUUCCUUUCUCAAAUUUGUAUUCAUUCAAGUGGCCAUUUGGCGCUCAGAUACGAAGUAUUUGGCCACUGACGUUUGAAUGAAAAUCAGUUGCUGGAUGCUCAUUUAUGGUCCUUUUUUCCUUGUUCUUUUGUUGUACACACUACAAAUCAGUUUCACGAAUUUCUGACAUGAUUGCUUCAAUGAUGAUUUUUGUAGAAGAACUUGCCUUUGGAAUUAAAGAAGAUUGCUUUGACACUGACCAGAGACAUACGAAGGAGUGAGCUAAUUCCGUUGUACUGUGCUUCAUGCUUUUUUAUCAUUGUUUGCGUCUUAAAAAAUUCCCUACAGAUUUCAGGGCUAGCAAAUAUGCUAAAGAUAGGUACAGAGAAGGCAAUCAGUGCACUGGAUUCGAUAUUGAUGCGAGAAAAAAUGCCUUUGGGUCGAAGCCCACUUACUGUUAUUCUCAUGGUGUUUUACCCAAAGGAUGUUAAUCAACACCUUACUUUUGAGUUUCAAAGUUCAAGCGAUUAUUACUUAUCUAUUUAUCUAUAUUACAAUGAAUAAGCCCACUUACUAAUAUUCUAUGCAAGGAGAAAUAUGAAGUAUAUAUUCUAUGCAAAACCAUCAUAAUAAUGUGUAAAGUUCUGGGUUUAUUGAGCAAAAUCACCAUUGAAAAAUAGAAAUGCAUUAGACCUUGGAGGUUACUUGUGAAAAGGAAGUGCUUCAGGUUACUCUUUGACUGUUUGUAGAUCUUCUUUCUGUAAGCUCGUGGUUUCUUCAAGGACUUGAACGGUGUGUAUAUAUUAACUAGCUGAAGGAAGGCAAAUGGAAAGAAUAUGAGAUGCAUAAACUCCCAACUUUAAAUCAGAAGCAAGAAAAUGGUCAAUUUUCACAUUUAUUUCCUUUCUCGUGGCUUCAAAAUAACUUCGUAGUUAUGCAAGCUUGCUCCGUGUAGGGUUUACAACGAAAAAUUGAAGAAGUUGUGAUGGACUGAAAAAAUUGAUCAAAGCAAAGGCGUCCACUCUGGAUACAUAUUUCUAGAAGCUAUAGAGAGUGUAUUUAUGUGUUCAUAGGUAUAUGAUCACUUUCUCCGCUCCCAUUUGUAUGCAUUAUGGUUUACCUUUUGGAAAAGCUGUUGUGUAGUAUUUCUAUGUGUUUCGGUAUGCAUACAUCUGGUUAUUUUUAUUCUGAAGAAUUGAAUUAUUGAAGUGGCCGGUGAUAAGAAGAAGAGAGAUAUACCAGUCACUUGUGUGUUAGUUAUUGCUUCAAACAUGGCAAUCAAAGCCUACAGAAAAAUUCAAACAAUUAAUUAGAGAUCCUCUUCAUUAGAUAAAAUAGAGUUUGCCUGAUUCUUAGAUAGCUUGCUUGCCUUUGCUCUGUUAUUUUCAAUAUAAAUGUAUUGAGUUACUGUGACUAACAUGACACUUGAAUAUUCAGUCUGUGUGUUAGAUGUGAGUGAUGGAUAGGGUCACACUCACAUUUCUCUUCCUACAUUUAUGUUUUUGUCUUGAACUUCGUUUUGGUGCACACCUCCUCUGGAGACUUACUUAUCUUUCUCAUUGUCGUCCUCCUACAAAUUCAGCUUAUGCUUCAGCAUAACAGCUAGGCCUUGCAUAAGUAAAACUGAUGCGCCAUUGUAUUUUUACAAAUACAAUGGUCUAUUUUUGAACGAAAAUGCUUUAUUAGUAUAAAUAAUGGUUCAGUGUUAAUCGAAGGUACAAAGAUCUAUUUUAGUGUUUUUUGCGUUAGAAGAGAGUAAGGUGUGAAAGUGACUCAUCUGAUUUCCUGUAUUUUAGAUAGGGUUCCAAAUAUCAAUCAGAUAUUAAUUAUCUGUGAAAAAUCCUUAGCAUGUGGCCAUCUAAAUUUAUUUGUUUUACUAAGCCGCACAAACCAGAUUCGUACAUGUAGACCCUGUGUCGAUCAACAAGGUGGAAACAGAAUUCUCUCGAAAGAAAAAGGGGAUAUGUAGAUUUUGUGUGCGAGUAAAACAAGGAUAGAUAGAUAGAUAAGGUGUACUACCUCGGAUUGGCUUUUGCUGAAUGGAUUGUUACUUUUGUCUUGCACUGAACUAAACAAGUGCCCAUGUAGUUUCAGAAUCUGAACUUCUGUCUCAUUAAACAAGAAGAGCGAGGCCGGUCAUCCAUGAUGCAUUUAUAGAUCCAUUUGAUGACGAGUCCCAUCCCAUCUUGAAUACCACUAUUUAUUUCUAGGGUACUAGCUAGCAUUACCGUGUUUGUGUUUGUUGAUUAAGUUUUGAGAUUAAUAGCUAUUAUUCUCAUUCUGUAUGUUUUAUAUAUGACAACUUCUGUACAUACUGAUGUCCAGAUAAAUCAGCUAUGUAGUCUUAAUAUUUCAUAUAUACUAUCAAUUUUUGCCUCAAGCUUUAAAUCAGUUAUGUGUUGUGCAACAGAUAUCAUGAGAGUGACCACUCCAAGAUUUUAAUGUUGGUAAUUAUGUAUGGUCCUAGCCAUAUUUGAUAUCAUAUUGUAGGCAAGGUAUAGUCGAUAUUGUCAUUGUUCUUUUUGCGGUUACAAGAUAGGACAAUUCAGUUGUGCAAGAAGAAUUUUAGAGGUUACUUUAGUACUUUGGGUCAUUAGUUUGAAGAAAACAUUUUAGGCUUUCUCUUCUGCUGUUGUUCAUGCGGAUAUCAUUUUUCUUUUAUUCUUGUGUUAAAUAACAAAAGGCUAUACCAUAUUAGUUGGAACUUUAUCUCAAAUUCUUUGUUUGCAAACUGAUUUGUUGAACUUUUGGUGUAAGGAGAUCAACUACGUCUUGCUUGCAUUGCAUGCUACAACACUUCGGUGAAGAAAUAUGCGAUAUAAGAGGCAGGGCAGCGCGUCCGGCUAUCCUACGAGAAGAAGUGCGUGCAGCUGAGGACACAGGAUGCCAACGAUGUGGAGCCGUUCACCAUUGAGGGGACCAGGGCUGCCAUCAGGGACCUCCAGACCAAGGUCAACAUCUCUGUCGUCUUCAUCGACGGCGUGUCCCGAAGUGUCAUUGUCGUCCGUAAUGACUCAUCUAAAUGUACGUAUUUUUAUGAACCACACAACGGAUGAGGUGAGUGUGCUCCUCUCGGACUCGCCGCACGGUUAAAGGGAGGCAUCAAAGGCACGCCGCCACUUGUAACGUGCAGCAAUUUCUAUUGUUUUACCUUAUGUUGCCAUGCAACAAGAUGCUUCUCUCAAUGGCAUUAUAUUGUUGUGUGUUGCCUGUGAUGGCAUUUUAGUUUCUUUCUCACAUGAUGCAUCAAUAUAAUAAGAUCUCAAGAAUUGCAUGUAUGUGUUAUCUAGAUCAAAAAAGGAAACUGAAAGGUUCAUUUC